rnacentral:rRNA from 1 species
CAUGUAGGCGGAAUGAUCAGUCACUGGUGAAAUCUCCAGGCUUAACCUGGAGCGUGCUAGUGAUACUGUCAUUCUUGAGUUCGGAAGAGGGAAGUGGAAUUCCAGGUGUAGCGGUGAAAUGCGUAGAUAUCUGGAAGAACACCAGUAGCGAAGGCGGCUUCCUGGUCCGAAACUGACGCUGAGAUGCGAAAGCGUGGGGAGCAAACAGGAUUAGAUACCCUGGUAGUCC